CAGCAGCCGCGGUAAUACGAAGGGUGCAAGCGUUAAUCGGAAUUGCUGGGCGUAAAGCGUGCGUAGGCGGUUUGUUAAGUCUGUUGUGAAAUCCCCGGGCUCAACCUGGGAAUGGCAAUGGAUACUGGCAAGCUGGAGCGUGUCAGAGGAUGGUGGAAUUCUCGGUGUAGCGGUGAAAUGCGUAGAGAUCGGGAGGAACAUCAGUGGCGAAGGCGGCCAUCUGGGACAACACUGACGCUGAGGCACGAAAGCGUGGGGAGCAAACAGGAUUAGAUACCCGGGUAGUCCCUGUCUCUUAUAC
rnacentral:rRNA from 1 species